GACGAACGCUGGCGGCGUGCUUAACACAUGCAAGUCGAACGGAAAGGCCCUGCUUUUGUGGGGUGCUCGAGUGGCGAACGGGUGAGUAACACGUGAGUAACCUGCCCUUGACUUUGGGAUAACUUCAGGAAACUGGGGCUAAUACCGGAUAGGAGCUCCUGCUGCAUGGUGGGGGUUGGAAAGUUUCGGCGGUUGGGGAUGGACUCGCGGCUUAUCAGCUUGUUGGUGGGGUAGUGGCUUACCAAGGCUUUGACGGGUAGCCGGCCUGAGAGGGUGACCGGCCACAUUGGGACUGAGAUGCGGCCCAGACUCCUCCGGGAGGCAGCAGUGGGGAAUAUUGCACAAUGGGCUGAAGCCUGAUGCAGCAACGCCGUGUGCGGGAUGACGGCCUUCGGGUUGUAUUCCGCUUCCGCCUGUGACGAAGCGUGAGUGACGGUAAUGGGUAAAGAAGCACCGGCUAACUACGUG
rnacentral:rRNA from 1 species